UCUUCAAUCUGCUAUUGCAGGCUGUAGCGGCGUCUUCCAUGUUGCAUGUCCGGUUCCACCAGCUUCAGUCCCAAAUCCUGAGGUGAGGAUUUCAUUCACUACUAUGAUCUCUCAUUAGCGCUAUUUAACAUUGUCUCACUCUGCUUUGACUGGUUUUGCAGGUAGAAUUGAUCGCACCUGCUGUGGAUGGCACGCUGAAUGUGCUUAAGGCAUGCGUGGAAGCGAAUGUUAAGCGUGUUGUGUAUGUUUCCUCUGUAGCUGCACUUUUCAUGAACCCUGUGUGGUCAAAGAAUCAAGUAUUAGAUGAGACAUGUUGGUCUGAUCAGGAAUAUUGCAAGAAAACUGAGGUUAAUGCAUCCUCAAUCACUCAUCUCACUUGUUAAAUCUUACAUAUAUAUAUUUUUUUUUUGCUGAUUUUUAAGUUCCUCUGGCAGAAUUGGUAUUGUCUAGCAAAGACACGAGCAGAGAGUGAAGCUUUUGAAUUUGCAAAACGAGCCGGACUUGAUCUUGUCAGCGUUUGCCCUAGCCUUGUCUUGGGACCUAUACUGCAGCAGCACACAGUAAAUGCUAGUAGCCUGGUUCUUCUCAAACUUCUUAAAGGUAUAAACAGGCCUUAUCACAUCUGGUAUUGUCAGAACUCAGAAGCAGCUUGGUAGAUGGUGUGGUGAAUCUCGUAUCUUGAUUUUACUUUUGUGUGGUGCAGAGGGUUUUGAAUCACGUGAUAACCAAGAACGACAUUUGGUAGAUGUGCGUGAUGUGGCUCAAGCUUUACUCUUGGUUUAUGAGAAAGCAGAAGCUGAAGGAAGAUACAUAUGUACAGCCCACACGGUCAAAGAACAAAUAGUGGUUGAGAAGCUGAAGAGUCUUUAUCCACAUUACAACUACCCAAAGAGGUAAGUAAAACAAACAACACAUCUCUCUGCUUAAUUUUGUACACUCAAAACCAUCCUUGACAAAUUUUUGAGUGAAAAACUUAUAAACCUUAAAAACUGUUUUUGCUGGUCUGCAAUUUUUGUUUUGAGAAAUUGCUGUCUAUAAGAAAUGUCACUUACCUUCUAGAUCAGUGUUUUGAAGUUUCUUAAAUUUGAUCCAAGCUCUAC
rnacentral:lncRNA from 1 species